rnacentral:lncRNA from 1 species
ACUGCUUCGGCACUUGAUUUUCAGUCCAGCAAUAUUUUGAAGGUUGAAUUUAUACUCUAAAUGAAUCACAGAGUACAUCACAAUAAAUUAAAAACUCAAGAGAUGCAUUUAUAAAAACUCAACACUGCACUUAUUUGGAAAAUUUGAAUACUAAAUCAAAAACCUACUCACUAUUAGUUAUUUACAGCUUAGGUUAGGAUAGAAAUUUGUAAGUUACUAUUCUGUAAAAUAACUAAAUUUAUGAUAUAAUUGUACAGAAAGAUAGCGGAACAGCGUUGCCGAUUCUUAGUCUUGCAACUGACUUCUAUAGUCGAUAGUUAGCCUAAUACUGGUAUAUCAACUGUUCAUUCUUGUUUCAAAUAAUAAAUUAUAUUUUAUUCUCAAGAAAAUAUAGUUUUCAAUGAUUAUUUCAAUACGGUAAUUUAUAAAUUUUUAUGAUUGAGAUUAAAUAUUUAGUUUAUUAAUUACCGUAUACUUCCACAUUGUUGAAAAACCAUCUGGCAACAUUGCGGAGCUAGAAUGGAAUAGCGGCCGUAGUGCUAUCUGCUUUUUCGAAUGAUAACCAAGGAUAGCAACGCCAUUGCUAAUCAAACACUGCAAUUACAACGAGAACCUCACUUUUUUAGAUUUUUGUUUGUCAACUAUUGUAGGCCUAGCCCACCUUCAGGAAUCCUACUGUUCAUAUUAUAGCUAAUGGAUUUUAGAAAUUUUGCUGAUAAAAAUAUUUCUUUGCAUCAUCAAUGCAGGGAUUUAUUACUGUUCUUUAUUUUCAAACUACUAAAAUCAAUUUUCCGAUUGUGGUGGAGAUAGCCUACAAAAUUUUUAUUCAAAAUGUUUGCUGUGAUACAAUUCAAUCAAUUUUAUUAUUUGUCACAGGCUAAACAACAGUUAGCAUUGACAAUAGUCAUAUACAUUAAAAACAUGAAAAUUUUAACAUCCAUAUACAAAGUUGGACUUUAAGAAGUAAUAAAUAAUAGGCUUAUAUCAGUUACAUAAUUAUAUAGUUUGUGAUCACAGUUUGUGAGCUGCAAAUUAAAAUGUUUUUUUUUUUUCAGGUUCACCUUGUAUGAUGUGACUAUCUUAUUCAAUAUUUCUGGUUAUGAGGAAAGCAUUUGCCAAUCAUAUCAAACGUCUACCUUGUAUGAUGUGACUAUCUUCUUAUUGGAUAUUUGUGGUGUGUGAGGGGUGCAUUUGCCCAUCAUAUCAAUUAUCAGGUUACUGAGGACAGUGAAUAAAAUUGAUAUGGUGUUUUGUUACCAUGCUAUGGAGAGUAAUGGUGGAUGAGUGUGGGAUGACACUAACAGGACAAUAAGAAUCGCGUUUGAGAGAACUGAAAUGCAUUCUAAGCUAGUAUUUCAUCUUAGUCAAGUAUUCAAGUUUAUGAAACUACUGUCUGUAAGACAGGUAUUACUAUGUAAGCAAAUACAGUUGUAGCAAAUAAUAUUAUAUCUUUGAUAAAUAAAAUCAAUUUGAAUUUAUUCGAAUUUGUUAUUGAUUAUUAUUAUCCUAUUCCAUUCUAGCACCUCAUCUGUGAAUUUAUAAUUUAC